UGGGGAAUAUUGCACAAUGGGCGCAAGCCUGAUGCAGCCAUGCCGCGUGUGUGAAGAAGGCCUUCGGGUUGUAAAGCACUUUCAGCGAGGAGGAAGGUGGUGAGCUUAAUACGCUCAUCAAUUGACGUUACUCGCAGAAGAAGCACCGGCUAACUCCGUGCCAGCAGCCGCGGUAAUACGGAGGGUGCAAGCGUUAAUCGGAAUUACUGGGCGUAAAGCGCACGCAGGCGGUUUGUUAAGUCAGAUGUGAAAUCCCCGGGCUCAACCUGGGAACUGCAUUUGAAACUGGCAAGCUAGAGUCUCGUAGAGGGGGGUAGAAUUCCAGGUGUAGCGGUGAAAUGCGUAGAGAUCUGGAGGAAUACCGGUGGCGAAGGCGGCCCCCUGGACGAAGACUGACGCUCAGGUGCGAAAGCGUGGGGCAGCAAACAGGAUUAGAUACCCUGGUAGUCCACGCUGUAAAACGAUGUCGAUUUUGGAGGUUGUGCCCUUGAGGCGUGGCUUCCGGAGCUAACGCGUUAAAUCGACCGCCUGGGGAGUACGGCCGCAAGGUUAAAACUCAAAUGAAUUGACGGGGUCU
rnacentral:rRNA from 1 species